GGCUGUACCUCAGUGGUAGAGUGCUUGCCUAGCAUGUGUGAGGCACUGGGUUUGAUUCUCAGCACCA
rnacentral:tRNA from 1 species